CAUCCUGGUGACGACUCAAGCUGAGGACUGAUCUGCACAGAAACGGAAGGCCUGAAGCCUGGAGACCGAGUGCUGAUUAAAAUCAUCAAAAGGAAAACUUGGAAAGCUCCGAGGUGGGAAGGACCCUACAAAGUGCAACUAACAACCCCCACUGCCGUGAAAAUCCAGGAGAGAGACACUUGGAUCCACCAGAGUCAUUGUAAACUGAUUAAAAACUUUCCACAGCAAAAAAGCCCAGUUACUUUCACAGGGACCCCACGACUAAGGUAUAGAUCUGUGGUGAAGUCCAGCUUCAAAGGGGUUUGGUUUUUUUAGGACCACUCGUCUCAACGCUGGUGAA